GCGAACGUAUCACCCAAGACAACUUUACGGAGUUGACGAUUGACGGAGCGAAGCGACGUCAAAGCGUUCAUUAAAGUCGAGUUGGCUUAGGGAUACGUUCGUUGGGUAGGGGAGCGUUCUGUAAGCCUGUGAAGGUGUGUCGUGAGGCAUGCUGGAGGUAUCAGAAGUGCGAAUGCUGACAUAAGUAACGAUAAAGCGGGUGAAAAGCCCGCUCGCCGGAAGACCAAGGGUUCCUGUCCAACGUUAAUCGGGGCAGGGUGAGUCGACCCCUAAGGCGAGGCCGAAAGGCGUAGUCGAUGGGAAACGGGUUAAUAUUCCCGUACUUGGUGUUACUGCGAAGGGGGGACGGAGAAGGCUAUGUUGGCCGGGCGACGGUUGUCCCGGUUUAAGCGUGUAGGUGUGUGUUCCAGGUAAAUCCGGUUCACUUUAACACUGAGGCGUGACGACGAGGCACUACGGUGCUGAAGCAACAAAUGCCCUGCUUCCAGGAAAA
rnacentral:rRNA from 1 species